rnacentral:rRNA from 1 species
CUACGGGUGGCACCAGUGAGGAAUAUUGCACAAUGGGGGGAACCCUGAUGCAGCAACGCCGCGUGGAGGAUGACGCAUUUCGGUGUGUAAACUCCUUUUAUAUGUCAAGAAAAUGACGGUAGCAUAUGAAUAAGCACCGGCUAACUCCGUGCCAGCAGCCGCGGUAAUACGGGAGGGUGCAAGCGUUACUCGGAAUCACUGGGCGUAAAGGACGCGUAGGCGGGAUAUCAAGUCAGGUGUGAAAUCCUACAGCUUAACUGUAGAACUGCACUUGAAACUGGUAACCUAGAGUAUGGGAGGGGGAGAUGGAAUUAGUGGUGUAGGGGUAAAAUCCGUAGAUAUCACUAGGAAUACCUAAAGCGAAGGCUAUCUCCUGGAACAUAACUGACGCUAAGGCGUGAAAGCGUGGGGAGCAAACAGGAUUAGAUACCCGCGUAGUC